UAAUCCUGACAGCGGUCUGCAUGGUGCGCCUGCACAAUGUACCCAGCCAAGUAUUGUGUCCACCAAGGCGAUUAACAGCCGGGUGCGCAUGCUCGGAACUAUCAUCUACGAGUCUGCACACUCCGACCAUGACGCCAGAAGUGGGGCACGAGAUACAUCAGGAGGGACAUCGCGCAGGCACUGAGAUUCCAGUGACAAUGUAUGGCAUUCUACUAUAAUUUACCUCUAACAUACAUCAUAUGGUUACUGAAUAGCGAACACAGAGCAAUCACAAGUAUUUGCAACGGACUGUGCAAAAGCAUUCUGUUAAAUUCCCUCUUGACUGCAAUAAACAUCUCUUAAAACAGUAA